rnacentral:rRNA from 1 species
CCUUAGCGCGGUGGUCCCACCUGACCCCAUGCCGAACUCAGAAGUGAAACGCCGUAGCGCCGAUGAUAGUGUGGGGUCUCCCCAUGCGAGAGUAGGGAACUGCCAGGC